UGGGGAAUAUUGGACAAUGGGCGAAAGCCUGAUCCAGCCAUGCCGCGUGAGUGAAGAAGGCCUUCGGGUUGUAAAGCUCUUUUGUUGGGAAAGAAAAGCAGUCGGUUAAUACCCGGCUGUUCUGACGGUACCCAAAGAAUAAGCACCGGCUAACUUCGUGCCAGCAGCCGCGGUAAUACGAAGGGUGCAAGCGUUACUCGGAAUUACUGGGCGUAAAGCGUGCGUAGGUGGUUUGUUAAGUCUGAUGUGAAAGCCCUGGGCUCAACCUGGGAAUUGCAUUGGAUACUGGCAGGCUAGAGUGCGGUAGAGGAUGGCGGAAUUCCCGGUGUAGCAGUGAAAUGCGUAGAGAUCGGGAGGAACAUCCGUGGCGAAGGCGGCCAUCUGGACCAGCACUGACACUGAGGCACGAAAGCGUGGGGAGCAAACA
rnacentral:rRNA from 1 species